GAGGGUCAUUACUGAGUGUUAAAACUCUCCAACCCCCUAUGUGAUUACUACCAUUUUUAUUCCUCGGCAGUGUAAGGCGGGAAGAGUAUCCCCCUCUAUAUUUCUCUAUUAUAGGGGAUUCUAGAGGGGCGCUGCUCCCCCCUCUCCCCCGCUGCCGGUGGAAACCACUAUAAUCUAUAUUUCAUCUAUUGAGUCUUCUGAGUUUUAUAAUACAAAACGCAUAAAAACUUUCAGCAACGGAUCUCUUGGCUCUGGCAUCGAUGAAGAACGCAGCGAAAUGCGAUAAGUAAUGCGAAUUGCAGAUUUCAGUGAGUCAUCGAAUCUUUGAACGCACAUUGCGCCUGCUGGCCAUUCCAGCAGGCAUGCCUGUCCGAGCGUCAUUAUCAACCCCUCUCAGGCUUUCUUAUAGGGUUUUAAUAGGACCCUAUAUCGAUUGACUGGCACCUGGAGAUUGGCCGUGCCCCUCUUGUUUUUUUCUUAAAACUAAGGGGGAAGGCCAGCUCUGAAAUACAGUGGCGACUCGAGGUCUUACUUCUUCCCCUGCGCAGUAAAACUCUUGCUCGCAACGGGACUAGUGACCUUGUGUUAGCCAUCUUAACACCCUAUAUUUUCAAUGGUUGACCUCGGAUCAGGUAGGAGUACCCGCUGAACUUAAGCAUAUCAAAA
rnacentral:rRNA from 1 species